GGGAUUUCCUUUAAGAUGAAGCACAUUUGUCUGUUGGCAUCAGAACCAGUGAUAUCUCCAUUUAACAAAUAGGGCCAAAAAUCAUGGUGCAUGUGGAUUUCAUCUCUCUGCAUCUGCAGUACAACUGCAAAUUGGAGACAUCUCUUCCAGAGGAACUGAGGAAGUUUCAGAUUGGCAGUGGUCAAAAGCCCAUCCUUUGAAUCACCUGACAGUCGAAGACUGAUGGAUAAAAUCAUUUCCAG